AUCACCUCCAUUCCUUGUUUUCUUUCUUUCCAUGACAGCUCCUUUAGGAAGAGGAUAUCUAUCUUGGGUUAUUCCGAAACAACAACCAUGAUGUCAUUUCUGUAUUUCAGGAAGACUGGCAGACAGUUGCUUUGAUUCUUCCUCAAAGUAUUCAUAUUCAGCUACAGUCCAAAAUUGCUUUUUCUUCAACGAGAUGUAUGGAAAAGACUCUGACAACAACUCUUGAAUACAAGUUUCUGAUAACUUCAAGAUCAUACCACUGGACUCUCUGAGAACUUUCAAAAUUUUAAUGAACAGGCUGAUACCUUCAAGAAAUUCAAGACAAAGAAGAAAAAAACCUCAGUUUUAUUGUACUAAAUAAUCAAAACAAUAACGUUUUCAUAAUUUUUUACUUGAAAAUGUGCUGAUUCUUUGAAUCUUUUCUUCUCCAGAUUUAUGAACUUUCUCUUUUAAGCUCUUUAUACUUCACAGCAAUUUACUAAAGUAUACUUUUGUGAACAAAAAUUGAAACAUUUGCUUUUGCUCCCAAUAUGAGUGCCCCAGAAUUGGGAAACUAUUCAUGAGGAUUCAUAUGCUUAUAGUAAUAAAGUUAUCUGCACAAGUUCAA